GGGUGGUUAGCUCAGCGGUAGAGCAUUACCUUGACAUGGUAAGGGUCACAGGUUCGAUCCCUGUACCACCCACCA
rnacentral:tRNA from 1 species